rnacentral:rRNA from 1 species
GACGGAGGAUGCAAGUGUUAUCCGGAAUCACUGGGCGUAAAGCGUCUGUAGGUGGUUAAAUAAGUCAACUGUUAAAUCUUGAGGCUCAACCUCAAAAUCGCAGUCGAAACUAUUUGACUAGAGUAUAGUAGGGGUAAAGGGAAUUUCCAGUGGAGCGGUGGAAUGCGUAGAGAUUGGAAAGAACACCGAUGGCGAAGGCACUUUACUGGGCUAUUACUAACACUGAGAGACGAAAGCUAGGGUAGCAAAUGGG